UCCGAGUUGGUGUAGUGGUUUGAACAUUGGAAUAUGACUCUGGAGAUCAGGGUUCAAAUCCCCAUUUGGUC